rnacentral:rRNA from 1 species
AGAGCGCAAGGGGAAUGCCUUGGCAUCAGGAGCCGACGAAGGACGUGACAAGCUGCGAUAAGCCACGGGGAGGAGCAAAUAUCCGUUAUAUCCGUGGAUCUCCGAAUGGGGGAACCCGCUCAAGCAAUACUUGAGCAUCGUGCGUUGAAUCAAAUAGGCGUACGAAGGGAACGGCCUGAACUGAAACAUCUAAGUAGGGCCAGGAAAAGACAUCAACCGAGAUUCCGCUAGUAGUGGCGAGCGAACGCGGAGGAGGCCAAACCAGAGGUCAUAGAUCUCUGGGGUAAGGACAGUCAUUUAGAAAGGGAAGCUAGCCGAACGGCAUGGGAAGGCCGUCCACAGAGGGUGAGAGACCCGUAGGCGAAAGCGGAACGGACGAGACUGUAUCCAGAGUACCGCCGGACACGUGAAACCCGGUGGGAACAAGGGAGGACCACCUUCCAAGCCUAAAUACUACCUGAUGACCGAUAGUGGAGCAGUACCGUGAGGGAAAGGUGAAAAGUACCCCGAGAGGGGAGUGAAAGAGAACCUGAAACCUUGUGCUUACAAGCACUCAGAGCGCGUUAAAGCGUGAUGAGGUACCUUUUGUAGAAUGGUCCGGCGAGUUAUAGUAACGAGCAAGGUUAAGCUAUUCAGUAGCGGAGCCGAAGGGAAACCGAGUCUUAAUAGGGCGUUAAGUUCGUUGCCAUAGACCUGAAACCGGGUGACCUAUCCAUGUCCAGGCUGAAGAUCAGGUAAAACUGAUUGGAGGGCCGAACACACGUUCGUUGCAAUGACCGGUGAUGAGGUGUGGAUAGCGGAGAAAUUCCAAUCGAACCCGGAGAUAGCUGGUUCUCCCCGAAAUAGCUUUAGGGCUAGCGUCGAGAGAAGAGUUGCGUGAAGGUAGAGCACUGAAUAUGUGAUGGCCCCAUCUCGGGGUACUGAGCAUAAUCAAACUGCGAAUGUCACGCCAACAUGCUCGGCAGUCAGACAGCGGGUGAUAAGGUCCGUUGUCAAGAGGGAAACAGCCCAGACCAUCAGCUAAGGUCCCAAAAUGUAUGCUAAGUGGAAAAGGAUGUGGAGAUGUACAGACAACUAGGAGGUUGGCUCAGAAGCAGCCAUCCUUUAAAGAGUGCGUAACAGCUCACUAGUCGAGUGACCCUGCGCCGAAAAUGUACCGGGGCUAAGCCUGAUACCGAAACUGCGGAUUGUAGGAAACUAUAGUGGUAGGGGAGCGUUGUAUACGAGCAGAAGCCGUACCGUGAGGAGCGGUGGAUUGUAUAGAAGUGAGAAUGCCGGUGUGAGUAGCGAGAUGUAGGUGAGAAUCCUACACACCGAAAGCCCAAGGAUUCCAGGGGAAGGUUCGUCCGCCCUGGGUAAGUCGGGACCUAAGGCGAGGCCGAAAGGCGUAGUGGAUGGAAAGCAGGCGAAAGAUUCCUGCACCCGUAUAUGGAGCGAAGGAGUGACGGAGACGGAUAGUGUGACCCUCUUAAUGGAUUGAGGGCGAAGCGAAGCGGCUGGUUACCAGGCAAAUCCGGUAACCGAAAAGGCUAGAGCGUGACAGGUAAGCGAAAUCUUAGGAAAGUAGCGAAGCACAUGAUGACGGCUUCCAGGAAAAGCUUCUGGCAAUGCAUAUGCGGCCCGUACCAAAACCGACACAGGUGGGCAGGGAGAGAAUCCCGAGGUGAGCGAGAGAACUGUUGCCAAGGAACUCGGCAAAAUGACUCCGUAAGUUAGCGAGAAGGAGUGCUUAAGCAAUUAAGCCGCAGUGAAGAGGCCCAAGCGACUGUUUAACUAAAACACAGCUCUCUGCGAAGUCGCAAGACGAAGUAUAGGGGGUGACACCUGCCCGGUGCUGGAAGGUUAAGAGGAUCUGUUAAGAGCGAUCUGAAGCAGUGAUCCGAAGCCCCAGUGAACGGCGGCCGUAACUAUAACGGUCCUAAGGUAGCGAAAUUCCUUGUCAGGUAAGUUCUGACCCGCACGAAAGGUGUAACGAUUUGGGCGCUGUCUCGGCAGCAGACUCGGUGAAAUCUUAGUACCUGUGAAAAUGCAGGUUACCCGCAACUAGACGGAAAGACCCCAUGGAGCUUUACUGCAGCCUGAUAUUGAAUUCUGGUCAUACAUGUACAGGAUAGGUGGGAGACAAAGAGACGUGCACGCCAGUGUACGAGGAGUCGCCGUUGGGAUACCACUCUUGUGUGACCGGGGUUCUAACCUGGUAUCGAGAACAGGUACGGGGAGAGUGUCAGGUGGGCAGUUUGACUGGGGCGGUCGCCUCCCAAAGAGUAACGGAGGCGCCCAAAGGUACGCUCAGAUUGGAUGGAAACCAAUCGUCGAGUGCAAUUGCAGAAGCGUGCUUGACUGUGAGACAAACAAGUCGAACAGGGACGAAAGUCGGGAAUAGUGAUCCGGCGGUGCCGAAUGGAAGGGCCGUCGCUCAACGGAUAAAAGCUACCCUGGGGAUAACAGGCUGAUCUCGCCCAAGAGUUCACAUCGACGGCGAGGUUUGGCACCUCGAUGUCGGCUCAUCGCAUCCUGGAGCUGGAUUCGGUUCCAAGGGUUGGGCUGUCCGCCCAUUAAAGCGGUACGCGAGCUGGGUUCAGAACGUCGUGAGACAGUUCGGUC